rnacentral:rRNA from 1 species
UACAGAGGUGGCAAGCGUUGUUCGGAAUUACUGGGCGUAAAGCGCACGUAGGCGGGUCGUUUAAGUCAGGGGGUGAAAUCCCCAGAGCUCAACUCUGGAACUGCCUUUGAUACUGGGCGACCUAGAGUCCGGAAGAGGUUAGUGGAAUUCCCAGUGUAGAGGUGAAAUUCGUAGAUAUUGGGAAGAACACCGGUGGCGAAGGCGGCUCACUGGCUCGUAUCUGACGCUCAGGCGCGAUAGCGUGGGGAUCAAACAGG